CUCACACGUGAGCCUUCUCAGACCUCAUCGGCUUCUGCUGCACACACGUGCCCUUGGGGAUUGGUUUUCCAGGACUGCCCUAGCAACAUACCCCUGGGGAGCUUCCGGCGACAGAAAUGGAAAGGAACACUGCUCUGUACAGACACCGUCCCUUUGCUGAGGAGGGGGACACGGAGACCGAGACGCAAAGAGAAGAGAGAUUGUGAAGACACACCGCAAAAGGCCAUGUGACAACAGAGGCAGAGACGGGAGGGACACAGCCACAUGCCGAGAGCACCAGCAACCACCAGAAAAAGCAGGAAUUCUCCCCCAGGAGCCUUCACAGAGCCCAGCCCACACUUGGACCUUGGAUUUCUAGCCUCCAGGUCUGCGAGAGAGUACAUUUCUGUUGCUGUAAGCCACCGGCGUAUGACGAUUUGUCACCCCAGCUAUAGGAAAUCCGCACAUGGUGCUUUUGGCUGAGACCGGGGUCUGGGCAUCAGGACACC